CCUACGGGAGGCAGCAGUCGAGAAUCAUUCACAAUGGGGGAAACCCUGAUGGUGCGACGCCGCGUGGGGGAAUGAAGGUCUUCGGAUUGUAAACCCCUGUCAUGUGGGAGCAAAUUAAAAAGAUAGUACCACAAGAGGAAGAGACGGCUAACUCUGUGCCAGCAGCCGCGGUAAUUCAGAGGUCUCAAGCGUUGUUCGGAAUCACUGGGCGUAACGCGUGCGUAGGCUGUUUCGUAAGUCGUGUGUGAAAGGCGCGGGCUCAACCCGCGGACGGCACAUGAUACUGCGAGACUAGAGUAAUGGAGGGGGAACCGGAAUUCUCGGUGUAGCAGUGAAAUGCGUAGAUAUCGAGAGGAACACUCGUGGCGAAGGCGGGUUCCUGGACAUUAACUGACGCUGAGGCACGAAGGCCAGGGGAGCGAAAGGGAUUAGAUACCCGGGUAGUC
rnacentral:rRNA from 1 species